UACGUAGGGGGCAAGCGUUGUCCGGAAUCAUUGGGCGUAAAGCGCGUGUAGGCGGUCCGGUAAGUCGGCUGUGAAAGCCCCGGGCUUAACCCUGGAAUGGCAUUUGGGACUGCAAGGCUUGAGUGCGGCAGAGGAGACUGGAAUUCCUGGUGUAGCAGUGAAAUGCGUAGAUAUCGAGGAGGAAUACCGAUGGAGCGGAACGGCAGGUCUCUGGGACUGACACUGGACGCUCAUGCACGAA
rnacentral:rRNA from 1 species